AUUGAACGCUGGCGGCAGGCCUAACACAUGCAAGUCGAACGAGUGGCGGACGGGUGAGUAAUGUCUGUGAAACUGCCUGAUGGGGGGGGAUAAAUACUGGAAACGGUAGCUAAUACCGCAUACCAUCAGAUGUGCCCAGAUGGGAUUAGCUAGUUGGUGGGGUAACGGCUCACAAAGGCCACGAUCCCUAGCUGGUCUGAGAGGAUGACCAGCCACACUGGAAUGGUGACACGGUCAAGACUCCUACGGGAGGCAGCAUUGGGGAAUAUUGCACAAUGGGCGCAAUCCUGAUGCAGCCAUGCCGCGGGUAUGAAGAAGGCCUUCGGGUUGUAAAGUACUUUCAGCGGGGAGGCGUUACCCGCAGAAGAAGCACCGGCUAACUCCGUGCCAGCCGCCGCGGUAAUAC
rnacentral:rRNA from 1 species